rnacentral:lncRNA from 1 species
AUGAAGAGAUAUGUAGAGGGAUCACUCGGUGAUAGACCUCCAAUAUCCAAAACGACGUGCAGUUUCAGGACGUUUGAGUAGACGUCAGUACCCAAGAACGACUUGAGGCCUAAUCCUCCUUUCCUUGCUUUUACCUUGGAAUCUUAGUGGUUGUGCUCUGAUUAGGGUGUCUGGGAGUAUAUUUAUAUUUACUUUUGAAUUUUUAUGUUAUGAGGAACCCUCGAGUUCACCUAUAUUGAUACAUUAUGAGAUUUAUGAGUUAUGACUUCAUUUGGUUAUAUGAUGUAUUUUUGACU